ensembl:lncRNA
GGAUGCACCUGCAGCAUAUGGAAGUUCCCAGGCCCGGGGUCAGAUUGGAGCUAUAGCUGCUGGCCUGCACCACAGCCACAGCAAUGCCAGAUCCAAGCUGCAUCUGUGACCUACACUGCAGCUCAUGGCAACGCGGGAUCCUUAACCCACUGAGCAAGGCCAGGGAUGGAACCUACCUCCUCACAGAGACAAAGUCAGGUCCUUAGCCUGAUGAGGCACAGGGGGAAUGCUCCUAAAUAAUUCAAGUUAAGUAAAAGGUCAAAAGGAAGUUUGUUAAAAUUCCAAAAGUUCAGAUCAAAAAUUCAAGGGUGACUUAAAGAAGAAAGAAAGAAAUCUGAGAUGUAUACCGAGUCGAUUUAGACACAUGUAGCCUGGAAGUGCAUUUAGGAGGCCGUGGCUCCUCCUGGGGGGAGCUUCUUCCUCAGCUCACUGCAAAGCACACGAUUGCCUGGCUCCCUCUGGCUUGUUCUAAGAGAGACACAAGGCUCAACAAGUUGAAUUUGGGAUUUAUUCCCGGUAUUACUUGGAUUUUCAAGAAUUUUUGGAAAUCUUGCCUUUCGGCCACAGCCUUUCGGUAAUAUGGGUUAUUUGCCAAAUUCAUUUCAAGCUCUUGAAUUUACAGUUAAAAGAGAAAUAAAAAAGUCUUUCAUUUGUUCCUAAGCUGUUUAUUUUGCUUGUAAAACCAAUCAUAAGGUCUCCCCAAUAAAAAAAGAAAUGCAUGAAAGUUCUAACUCCAGGGGACUGAACUGUUGAAGGCUGAAAUUCCCCUAGGCAAAGCCAGAAGUCAUUUUAAUGAGACAGUUUUCUCUUUGAAUUCGGGAGGGCAUGGAACAACACCCUCGCCGAGAAAAUUCCCUUUAUCCUGCUUUAGAAUUCCCCCCUCUAAGAAAGAUGGGGUUGGAAUGGCUGGCCUUUUAAGGCGUGAGCAGUGGAAAACUGGUAGCAAUCGUCUAUUACUUUCUAGCACUGGGAAACGGCUUGGAGCCUAGCUUGGUGUGAUGCUCCGUGGUGUGGUCUGGCCAGCGUGGUGGCGUGGUACCCAUUGGGACCGUGGGUGUGCUCUGGGCCCGCCCCCCCUACCCCUGCCCGGUUCCACGAUCGCCACCUCUCCACACGGCUCACACAUACACCCUACACGGCAGACUGUGCUGAUAGCCAGGCUGGCCAUCUGCUGAGUUUGGAACCACAGAUACUAAAAAUGUUACGAAAUGGGUUUUCUCCCCUCCCCACCCCCCCGCCCCAAACGCCCGGAGCAAGGCUGAUCUGUAUCCUGAGAAGCAAAAUCCUAACGGAAAUGAGGAAAAACACCAAAGCCAAACCUAAAAACUGCACCAUCCGAUUCGUUUCAGAUCUCCUAAGACCAGCCCUGGCCAUGUGGGAUCCUGUUUUGCAGAAAAUUUGGACACAAAUCAAGGGUUUUGUUUCUUUGGGUUUAAAAACUUUUCAUCACUUUUUCCUUCUAGCAUGAAAAUACAACACUAACUACUUUACCAGGAGGAGCAAAAGUGUUUGAAAAAUAAUUUCGCCCCUGCCAGCGUCUGCUAUUGAGAUCAGUGUCCAUUCCAAUUUGUUCCUGACUCUCCAAAGAUAUAUUUUUUUCUCAUUGGGAAUUUUCUCCUUAUGGGAAUACGAAGGCAGAGAAUCUGUGACACAAACAAACAAGCAAAUAAGUGACCUUGGCAUG